rnacentral:lncRNA from 1 species
AACUAAUGUGGCAGGACACUGCAUCUUCCCUAAGCAUGGACUAUCUUAUAUUUACUUAGUGAUCAUGAAGAACAAUUGUACGAACAUCAUACUUAAAAUCACAGAAAUUAAAUAUGAUUCAAAAGAAGAUAUCCAUUGAAAACAAUAAGUUCAUACAACCCCAAGAAUAUAAAAUAAAAUAUAAAACCCGUGUCCCUUUGUUAGGGCUGCAUCCGGCCCUAGAGAGGAGAUCAGGCUUCCAUGCAGUGGUGGACGGCAGCAGCAGCACAGCACCAGGCUCCCAUUCCUUCCUUCUCUUCCUCCGGCAACUCCCCUACGAACGUGGACUUCAUUAUUUCUUCAUAUGGGAAGUUAUUCUCGAAAUGCCCAAAAUUUUCUCCCUCUUAUUUUUGUGGGAAUUUGGCCACAAAUUCCA